rnacentral:ncRNA from 2 species
AGACUUUCACGCAGUUUUGGUGCUCGCGCGCGAGGCUCUUUCGCGCGCAGUUAAACAGGAAGCAGGAAGCGUUCGUUCGAGCGUUAAAGAACGGAUGUGAACCUCACUGCACCCGCAACGGUAAGCGAAGGCCGUAUUCGUUAGAACGUGGCAAGCCGCUCUCAAAACCACUGCGCGAAUAACGUGGGAAGGCAAAGCGGCGUUUUCGUCAGUCCGGAUACCGGCCAGACAUGAGCGGGUGUG